rnacentral:rRNA from 1 species
AGAAUCAACGCUGGCGGCGUGCCUAACACAUGCAAGUCGAACGAGAAAGUGGGAGCAAUCCCACGAGUAAAGUGGCGCACGGGUGAGUAACACGUGACUAACCUACCCUUGAGUGGGGGAUAACCUAGGGAAACCUGGGCUAAUACCGCAUAAUACCUACGGGUCAAAGGAGCAAUUCGCUUAAGGAGGGGGUCGCGGCAGAUUAGUUAGUUGGCGGGGUAAUGGCCCACCAAGACAGUGAUCUGUAUCCGGCCUGAGAGGGCGCACGGACACACUGGAACUGAAACACGGUCCAGACUCCUACGGGAGGCAGCAGUGGGAAUUUGCGCAAUGGGGGAAACCCUGACGCAGCAACGCCGCGUGGAGGAUGAAGCCCCUUGGGGCGUAAACUCCUUUCGAUCGGGAAGAUAAUGACGGUACCGGAAGAAGAAGCCCGGCUAACUCGUGCCAGCAGCCGC